GAGUUACGAUUUGAUGCAAGGUUAAGCAGUAAAUGUGGAGCCGUAGCGAAAGCGAGUCUGAAUAGGGCGUUUAGUAUUUGGUCGUAGACCCGAAACCAGGUGAUCUACCCUUGGUCAGGUUGAAGUUCAGGUAACACUGAAUGGAGGACCGAACCGACUUACGUUGAAAAGUGAGCGGAUGAACUGAGGGUAGCGGAGAAAUUCCAAUCGAACCUGGAGAUAGCUGGUUCUCUCCGAAAUAGCUUUAGGGCUAGCCUCAAGUGAUGAUUAUUGGAGGUAGAGCACUGUUUGGACGAGGGGCCCCUCUCGGGUUACCGAAUUCAGACAAACUCCGAAUGCCAAUUAAUUUAACUUGGGAGUCAGAACAUGGGUGAUAAGGUCCGUGUUCGAAAGGGAAACAGCCCAGACCACCAGCUAAGGUCCCAAAAUAUAUGUUAAGUGGAAAAGGAUGUGGCGUUGCCCAGACAACUAGGAUGUUGGCUUAGAAGCAGCCAUCAUUUAAAGAGUGCGUAAUAGCUCACUAGUCGAGUGACACUGCGCCGAAAAUGUACCGGGGCUAAACAUAUUACCGAAGCUGUGGAUUGUCCUUUGGACAAUGGUAGGAGAGCGUU
rnacentral:rRNA from 1 species